rnacentral:rRNA from 1 species
GCUUAACACAUGCAAGUCGAACGAUGAUCCCCAGCUUGCUGGGGGGAUUAAUGGCGAACGGGUGACUAACACGUGAGUAACCAUGCCCUUAACUCUGGGAUAAGCCUGGGAAACUGGGUCUAAUACCGGAUAUAACUCCUCAUCCCAUGGUGGGGGGUGGAAAACUUUUUGUGGUUUUGGAUGGACUCGCGGCCUAUCAGCUUGUUGGUGAGGUAAUGACUCACCAAGGCGACGACGGGUAGCUGGCUUGAGAGGGUGACCGGCCACUACUGGGACUGAGACACGGCCCAGACUCCUACGGUAGGCAGCAGUGGGGAAUAUUGCACAAUGGGCGCAAGCCUGAUGCAGUGACGCCGCCUGAGGGAUGACGGCAUUCGGGUUGUAAACCUCUUUCAGUAGGGAAGAAGCGAAAGUGACGGUACUUGCAGAAGAAGCACCGGCUAAUUACGUGCCAGCAGCCGCGGUAAUAAGUAGGGCGCGAGCGUUAUCCGGAAUUAUUGGGCGUAAAGAGCUGGUAGGCGGUUUGUCGCGUCGUCCGUGAAAGUCUGGGGCUCAACUCCGGAUGUGCGGCGGGUACGGGCAGACAAGAGUGAUGUAGGGGAGACUGGAAUUCCUGGUGUAGCGGUGAAAUGCGCAGAUAUCAGGAGGAACACCGAUGGCGAAGGCAGGUCUUUGGGCAUUAACUGACGAUGAGGAGCGAAAGCAUGGGGAGCGAACAGGAUUAGAUACCAUGGUAGUCCAUCCCGUAAACGUUGGGCACUAGGUGUGGGGGACAUUCCACGUUUUCCGCGCCGUAGCUAACGCAUUAAGUUCCCCGCCUGGGGAGUACGGCC